CAAGCUCUUUGUUGUUAAUUGGCGCUUACCUCACCUGAAGGCCUUUGCCAAGAAGAGCAGAGGGGUUUAAUGGGGAAGGAAGAAAGGAAAAAGCCUGAAGUCCUGGAAAACACUCCAAGCCACAUGUGAUUUUAGCUGGGGGGGCUCUCCACUCCCCAGUAUGCUGGCGCAACAAAGUGGCCUAUGUGCUCUCUCAGCCCUCGGCUGUUUGUUUGGGGGGCAAUGCGCAGACUGGGGCCUGAGUGAUAACUGCUUCGUGUAAUUACGAAGACAGCUUGAAAACUAUGCUCCUCUUUGUUUCAGCCUCCAGAUGACGGCUGUCUGACUGCUGUUUGUGCCAGUUUUAUUUCAAAGCGCUUUUCUUUCCAUAUUUCAAAGGUCAGUGUGUUUACUGUGGCCAAAAAGAGCCUGUGUGUAAGAGAAAGAAUCCAUGUGGCUGAGUUGCUGGAGAACCAGAAGAGGAGUCAGGGAACUGGAUUCGAAUCCUAGCUCAGCUUCUAGGGAGCUGAUACUCUAUGGACCACUUCCUUACCCCCUGGCUUCUGGUUGGAUCCAGCCAGUGAAAGACUCUGGUGGGAACUGGAAAGACCAUACAAGAAGCAUGGUGCCAAUAUCUGCAUCUGGUGAAGACCUCAGGCUGCUUCCACUCAUGGUGGAAAGUGAAGGGGAGCUGGUGUGUGCAGAGAUCAUAUGGUAAGAGAUCAUAUGGUAAGUAAGGGAGAGCAGGGGAAGGUCCCAGGCUCUUUUGAGACAUCCGACUCUCUUGAAAACUGAUCGAGUGAUAACUCACUCAUCCCUGAAGGAGAGCAUUAAUCAGUUUGUGGGAGACCCACUCCCAUGACCUAAACACCUUCCAUUAGGCCCCACCUCCAACACUGGUGAUCAAAUUUUAACAUGAGGUUUAGAGAGGACAAAUAUCAAAACCAUAGCACAAGACGAAUUUCUUCCUCAUGUUCUUAUCAUGCUUGACCUAACUCUCUCCAUUCGUUCAGCUUUUCAUGAUUACAACUCUGAUUCUAUAUAUUAAUAUGCCCUAACUAUAGAAUGAGGUGAGAAAGUGGGCACAAACAGGCAAUGAAGGAAGAGUAACUUAAAAUACAACAUGCUGCUAAGAAGUGGGGGGGAAAAAAAAAAAGUCAACUACAUUUUGUGCCACAAUGGAAUAAUAAAAUAUAAAAAUCAACCAAAUGCAACUAUUUCAACUUAAGUGAAUUUCAAUCAACGUAGUUUGUGUGUAUAGUCAGGGCUUCAAUUUCUUAAACUAAAGAAAUGUCAAUAUGUAGGACUAGAUAUAAAAUAAGCCAAAUAUUAAACCAGGCGCAGUGGCUCACGCCUGUAAUCCCAGCACUUUGGGAGGCCAAGGCAAGCAGAUCACUUGGGUUCAGGAGUUCCAGACCAGCCUGGGCAACAUGGCAAGACCCUGUCUCUACCAAAAAAGAUAGAAAAUUAGAUAAAAAUGACUCUUCUUUUUCCUUUACUUCACAUAGAAAAAAAACUAAAAGCAUUUACAAAAUAUCUUAGACUCUCAUCAAGCUAGAUAUUUCUUGCUUAUACUGAGGAAAAAAAUCACACUCAGAAUAGUCUUAAUCAAGGAUCAUAGGUAGCUCUAGACUAGAAAUUUUGAACUGUAAAAAAGAUAUUAAAAUGUGACUUUUAAUUAGAUCAGAAAUGAACUCUAAUACUCUUCACAUCUUCAGAAAUGACACCUUUUAUUCCUCCAGUAAUUGAGGUGUCAAAGGGCAAUUUGAGGCUACUCAAAAAGAUUCAGAGUCUGGUUUUGUUAACCACUAAGCUAAUUACUGUUACAAAAUGAAAAUUACCAGACACCACCGAAUUGUUGACAGGUCAAAAAAACAUUCUUAAGAAAUCCUGGAGUUUAAACUGGUGAUAUUCAGGCUUUCAAUAUUUAUUUUGUAGCUUUAUUUUUUUUAUUUCUUUGAGGCAGGAUCUUGCUUUGUCACCUAGGCUGGAGUACAGUGACACAAUCAUAGCUCACUGCACCCUGCGCCCAUGAACUCCUGGGCUCAAGUGAUCCCCCUGCCUCAACCUUCUGAGUAGCUGGGGCUAUAGGUGCACACCACUACGCAGAGCUCAUUUUUGUAUUUUUUGCAGAGAUGGGGUCUUGCUAUGUUGCCCUG
ensembl:lncRNA